rnacentral:rRNA from 1 species
GUUCAACGGCCGCGGUAUCCUAACCGUGCGAAGGUAGCGUAAUCACUUGCUCUUUAAAUGAGGGCUAGUAUGAAAGGCACCACGAGAGUCAUACUGUCUCCUUUCUCAAAUCAGUGAAACUAAUCCCUCCGUGAAGAAGCGGGGAUAAAAAUAUAAGACGAGAAGACCCUAUGGAGCUUAAAACAAACAAUACUUGCCUGCCUCUUUUUAAUUCCAGAAAAACUAUCUACCCGGGCACUAUAAUUACUAGUUUUCGGUUGGGGUGACCGCGGAACAAAAACCAACCUCCGCAAUGAAAAUAUUCCCUCCUCUAAGUUAAGGACUACAAUCCUAUGCAUCAACAAAUUGACAUUGAUUGACCCAAUAUAUUGAUCAAUGAACCAAGUUACCCUAGGGAUAACAGCGCAAUCCACUUCAAGAGCCCUUAUCGACAGGUGGGUUUACGACCUCGAUGUUGGAUCAGGGUGUCCUAGUGGUGCAGCCGCUACUAAAGGUUCGUUUGUUCAACGAUUAAAACCC